CCUCCCCUCACAGCGUUACAGGUAUGGCUGCUAUGUCACAGGUAUACCAGUAUGUGGCAGAGAGGAGAGAGGCUAUGUCUACACUUAAUGUUCUGACCUAUGAACAUCUAAAUGAUUAGUAGCUUAACAAU